rnacentral:rRNA from 1 species
UACGGAGGGGGCAAGCGUUGUUCGGAAUUACUGGGCGUAAAGGGCGCGUAGGCGGCCUUCUAAGUCGAACGUGAAAUCCCUGGGCUCAACCCAGGAACUGCGUCCGAUACUGGCAGGCUUGAAUCCGGGAGAGGGAUGCGGAAUUCCAGGUGUAGCGGUGAAAUGCGUAGAUAUCUGGAGGAACACCGGUGGCGAAGGCGGCAUCCUGGACCGGCAUUGACACUGAGGCGCGAAAGCCAGGGGAGCAAACGGG